rnacentral:piRNA from 1 species
UGCCCAGAAUGGUGUUGAUCUGAGAUCAGA